AGGAGGCACUUUUUUUUUCCAAUAUCAGUCUCCCAAGUUCCAUCCACCCAGUCGAGUCAGAGAGCCACAUUCUUGGCAUCAAUUCUGUGAGCUCCUCUUUGGAUGCUGUGGCUGCCAUGAGAUGAGCACCCAGUACUAGGAACAGAGACAAGUGGAGGUUUUGCCAGCUGGGCAGAGUGGAUUGGAUGGUGGAGAGUAGCAGAAAGAGGAAGUGGAUCUGCGGCCAAAGCCAGUAGAGGGGAGGGAAGCUGCAUAGCACCUGAUAGGUGCAUCUCUGGCCCUUCUGUUCUUUUUAACCGUGACCAGACUGAGAUGCCGGGAGGGGAAACAUGACACCACGUUCUCCGCCAACAAUUCAAACAGGAGCCAAGAGGCAUCUUGCAUUAACUUUUAAAGGGGAGAUACAGUCUGUUUAAAAUGGGUGCAGAUGAUGGAAGUGACAGUUUACUCCAACUCACCUG